ACCUGGGUGGCUCAGUCGGCUGAGUGUCUGACUUCAGCUCAGGUCAUGAUCUCACAGUUUGUGAGUUCAAGCCCCACCUCGGCUU
rnacentral:tRNA from 1 species